GUGCGUAACACGUAUGCAACCUACCCUAUACAGGCGAAUAACCUUUAGAAAUGAGGGCUAAUACGCCGUAGUAUUAUCUUAGGGCAUCUUAAGAUAAUUAAAGAUUUAUCGGUAUAGGAUGGGCAUGCGUCCCAUUAGUUAGUUGGUAGGGUAGCGGCUUACCAAGGCUAUGAUGGGUAGGGGAUCUGAGAGGAUUUACCCCCACACUGGUACUGAGACACGGACCAGACUCCUACGGGAGGCAGCAGUAAGGAAUAUUGGGCAAUGGGCGAGAGCCUGACCCAGCCAUGCCGCGUGCAGGAAGACGGCCCUAUGGGUUGUAAACUGCUUUUAUACGGGAAUAAAGUUGGGUAUGUAUACUCAUUUGCAAGUACUGUAUGAAUAAGCAUCGGCUAACUCCGUGCCAGCAGCCGCGGUAAUACGGAGGAUGCGAGCGUUAUCCGGAUUUAUUGGGUUUAAAGGGUGCGCAGGCGGAUAUAUAAGUCAGUGGUGAAAUUCCUGGGCUCAACCGAGGGACUGCCGUUGAUACUGUAUAUCUUGAGUGUAGUGGGCGUUGGCGGAAUGUGUCAUGUAGCGGUGAAAUGCAUAGAGAUGACACAGAACACCGAUAGCGAAGGCAGCUGACGAUACUUACACUGACGCUCAUGCACGAGAGCGUGGGGAUCAAACAGGAUUAGAUACCCU
rnacentral:rRNA from 1 species